rnacentral:sRNA from 1 species
AUCUAUCUUGCUGUGUUUGGACAGGCCAGCCCCUGAAACAUCUUGGGCAAUGGAGGGUUAACUUCUCAAAGUUUAAUAGGCAAGACCAGCAACCACGCAACAAGGACUUCAACUAACCAACUAAAGAACUGUUCCCCAGAGCAUUGUUCCUGAGAAGGAAAAGAGUCCAAACACCCACCCACACCUGCUUUGUGCCAAGAAUCCACAGUUGGAUUGCAAGGACAGUGCGUUCAAGACCCAGCUGUUGAGAGUAGAAAAGCAGAAGAAAGGACCCGAGGUCAGCAAGUGCCCUCCCUACAAUGGGGCAGGUCUGCCAGGGAGAAUCGGCUACAGCAGCUGAAAAACCAAAACUUCAUCUACUUACUGAAAGUGAGCAUUGUUGAUGCUCUUGAGAGCAUCAGCCAGGACAUUCAUGUGCACCACUGUGGUGGCGUGGAAAGAUGGCAAAAAGAGCCCUACGUGAUUUUAUUGACAAGUAUCUCUAUGCCAUGCGGCUCUCCGAUGAAACUCUCAUAGAUAUCAUGACUCGCUUCAGGAAGGAGAUGAAGAAUGGCCUCUCCCGGGAUUUUAAUCCAACAGCCACAGUCAAGAUGUUGCCAACAUUCGUAAGGUCCAUUCCUGAUGGCUCUGAAAAGGGAGAUUUCAUUGCCCUGGAUCUUGGUGGGUCUUCCUUUCGAAUUCUGCGGGUGCAAGUGAAUCAUGAGAAAAACCAGAAUGUUCACAUGGAGUCCGAGGUUUAUGACACCCCAG